rnacentral:tRNA from 1 species
UGCUCUGGUGGGAUUUGAACCCACAAUUCUUGUAUGCUAGAUGAGUGCUUUACCAACUAUGCUACCAAACC